rnacentral:lncRNA from 10 species
AUAAUUCAUAGGGAUUCAGCUUGAAGAAUUUUUGCAGACUGACAGACGUAUACACCCAAAGACCAACUUUGCCAGAUGAAGACACAGGGUACUACCAGAAACCCAUUCAUAGUCUCUUUCUAGCACUAACUCCCCAGUGGUAAUAAUUAUCUGCAGACUUAACAUGGUAGAUUGGCUUUGUUUUUUAAGUCAGGUUUAUUGAGAUAUAAUUUACAUAUGCAUCUUUUUGACAAAGGCAUCUAGUCAUGUGAUCACGCUACAAUCAAGAUACACAGAAUGUUUUAAUUUCCCUUGUGCCCCUCUGUAGUCAACUCCUUCCCCCCCACCCCUUCCUGCCCCUUGCAAUCACUAAUCUCUUCUCUCCCUAUACCUAGUUUUGUGGUUUUCAGAAUGUCGUAUAAAAAGAAUAAUAUAGGCCAGGCACAGUGGCUCGCGCCUGUAAUCUCAGCACUUUGGGAGGCCGAGGUGGGUGGAUCACCUGAGGUCAGUAGCUUAAGACCAGCCUGGCCAACUUGGCAAAACCCCGUCUCUACUAAAAAUACAAAAAUUAGCCAGGCGUGGUGGCGCAUGCCUGUAAUCCCAGCUACUCAGGAGGCUGAGGCAGGAGAAUCACUUGAACCCAGGAUGGGGAGGUUGCAGUGAGCUGAGAUCAUGCCAUUGCACUCCAGCCUGGGCAACAAGAGAGAAACUCUGUUCCCCCCUCCCGCCCCACCAAAAAAGAAAAAGAAUAAUAUAGCACAUAGUCUUCUGUGCUGUUACUCCCAGCAUAAUGCUUUUGAUAUCCACCCAUGUAGUCAAAGGUGUCAGUAGUUCAUUUCUUUAUAUUGCUGAUUAGUAUUCCGGUUUAUGGACAUACGACAUUGUGUAUUCAUUCACCUGUUGAUGGACAUCUGGAUUGUUUUCAAGCACAGCUGCCACAAACAUGAACAUUAGCACACAGGCUUUUGUGUGGACGUGUCUUCAUUUCUCUUGGAGUGGGGUUGCUGAUACAUAGGAGCUGAAGCAAUGGGCUGCCACUGCUGAGUGCUACCGUGAUACCAGCAGAUCUUGACAUGAUGGGCAGCUGUAGGCUCCAGUGGCCUUUGGUGUUUUCAAGAGUGACCGGAUUCCAAAAGCUGCAGCAGAGAAUGAUUUCAGUGAAGAAUGUGCUCCUGGGUUCUGGACAUGGAAGAAAAAGAUGUAGAGACACAGAGAAGGAGGCCAUGUGAAGACAGAGGCAGAGAUAGGAGUGAUGCUGCCACAAGCCAAGGAACUCCAGGAGCUACCGGCAGCUGGAAGAGGUGAGGAAGGACUUUUCCCUAGAGCCCUUGGGAGAAGCAUGGCCCUGCUGACGCCUCCAUUCAGACUUCUGGCCUCCAGGAUGGUGAGAGAAUAAGCCACCAAGUUUGUGAUAAUUUGUUGUGGCAGCCCUAAGAAGCUAACACAGCAGACACUAGUCAAAUAACCACAAAAUAUAUGUAAAAUUUAACUGCACUAAAAAAAAAAAAAAAAGUGGCUGAAGCAUUUUUCAUGUCCACCAACAAAGCAUGAGAGUUCCAGCGAUGCCACCUCCUCAUCAGCACAUGGUAGGGUCAGGUGGCCUUUUAUCCAGUCAUUCUGGAGGUGUACAGCGGUCUCUCAUUGUGAUAGUAAUUGCCAUAUCCCCAGUGGCCCCACAGGAAGGAGGUGUCUUUCUUCAUAUUUUCCAUACUCUUGCCCUUCUCCCGGUGGUGACUACCAGGCUGGCUGCCCACUACCAGGUUUGUGGUGAGGAGGUAAGUGUAGGCU